rnacentral:rRNA from 1 species
UGGGGAAUAUUGGACAAUGGGCGCAAGCCUGAUCCAGCCAUGCCGCGUGAGUGAAGAAGGCCUUCGGGUUGUAAAGCUCUUUCGGCGGGGACGAAACGGUUCGUGACAACACCACGGACUAAUGACGGUACCCGCAUAAGAAGCACCGGCUAACUACGUGCCAGCAGCCGCGGUAAUACGUAGGGUGCAGGCGUUAAUCGGAAUUACUGGGCGUAAAGCGUGCGCAGGCGGUUUGUUAAGACAGGUGUGAAAUCCCCGGGCUUAACCUGGGAAUUGCGCUUGUAACUGGCAGGCUAGAGUGUGGCAGAGGGGGGUGGAAUUCCACGUGUAGCAGUGAAAUGCGUAGAUAUGUGGAGGAACACCGAUGGCGAGGGCAGCCCCCUGGGUUAACACUGACGCUCAUGCACGAAAGCGUGGGGAGCAAACAGGAUUAGAUACCCUUGUAGUCCCUGAGCGGGCUGGCAAGGCGCAU